CCUACGGGUGGCAGCAGUGGGGAAUAUUGGACAAUGGGGGCAACCCUGAUCCAGCCAUGCCGCGUGUGUGAAGAAGGCCCUCGGGUUGUAAAGCACUUUCAGUGAGGAAGAACGCCUGGUGGUUAAUACCCAUCAGGAAAGACAUCACUCACAGAAGAAGCACCGGCUAGCUCCGUGCCAGCAGCCGCGGUAAUACGGAGGGUGCGAGCGUUAAUCGGAAUUACUGGGCGUAAAGCGCGCGUAGGUGGCUUGAUAAGCCGGUUGUGAAAGCCCCGGGCUCAACCUGGGAACGGCAUCCGGAACUGUCAAGCUAGAGUGCAGGAGAGGAAGGUAGAAUUCCCGGUGUAGCGGUGAAAUGCGUAGAGAUCGGGAGGAAUACCAGUGGCGAAGGCGGCCUUCUGGACUGACACUGACACUGAGGUGCGAAAGCGUGGGUAGCAAACAGGAUUAGAUACCCUGGUAGUC
rnacentral:rRNA from 1 species